rnacentral:snRNA from 1 species
AUACUUACCCGACGCGAGAGGCACCUUGAUCAACUAGGAGGUCCUCUCAGGAUGAGGCCCUUUCAUUGCACUUCGACUGGGUUGACUCCUGCGAUUACCCCUAAUGUGGGUAACUCGAGCGUAUAAUUUCUGGUAGUGGGGACCUGCGUUCGCGCUCGUCCCCU